GCAUUUGGCGGGAUCUGUGUCUCUCGCUGGUGCUGGCACAGGAGCUUGGGAUCUGUCUCCUCUUUCGCCUCCUGCACCUUGAGAGCCCUGGGCUACUCUGUCACAGCCCCUGUUGCCCUGCGAUCUGUAGGUCCUUGGGGACGCAUAGUUAAGGUGCCAGGACAUCCUGGAAGCUGGGAAAUGACCAUGGCUGGAGAAGGAAAGAAGGUGUGUUUUGCCUGAUUCAGGGACUAUAGAGAGAACCAAGUUCUGCAGGCCUGUCAUCUAAGUCUCAGGGCGGGGAGACCUUCCUUCCCCACGGGUUUGAGGCUAUGGCUAAGUGGUGAGCCUUGGUGAGACGCAGAAAGGAUCCAUCCCAGGCACUUGGCUAGAGGCAGGUUCCUGGGAUCUGAUAAAACUGAUAUUGGAGACGCUGGAGCUGAUCCGACAUAGCAAUGGUGUUGACUCCCUCCUUAUGUGUGGAUUGCUCAGCGGGGGAACUUGACUGUCCAACAUGCUGGGUGCAAGAACAGCAGAAAGGGGACUUUUAAGAUGUGGCAAACAUGAGGCCUCUUCGGAGAGGACUUUGGAAACCAGGCCUUGCUUGGCUGAAUGCUAUCCCAGUGAUUGUACGUGCCCUGUUUGCUGAAUCUACUCAUCCUUAAGGGUACAUUUGCUUCCAGGUAACAUGUUUGUGACUAAUACUACAAUGUGCAUAUAUCUAUUCCAUGUUCUGCUUUGUCUGUUUGGGAUAUUUUUCAUACACUGAUUCAGUACCAUGUGUAUUCCCUUGCUUUUGUUGUCUCAUCCGUUGAUGUUACGUCCCCCAAAUUAUUGCCACGACCAGUUGUCAUGAAGCUUCACCCUUCUGUAUUGUGCUAGGAAUUUUACAGCUAUAGGUUUUACAUUAUAGUCUUCAUUCAUUUUUUAAAAUUGACACAUGUAAUUGUGCAUAUUUUGGGGAAACAAUUAUAUAUAUAUGUUGUAUAACAAUAAAAAUCAGAGUACUUCUAUA
rnacentral:lncRNA from 1 species